GAUGAACGCUGGCGGCGUGCUUAACACAUGCAAGUCGAACGAUGAAGCCCAGCUUGCUGGGUGGAUUAGUGGCGAACGGGUGAGUAACACGUGAGUAACCUGCCCUUAACUCUGGGAUAAGCCUGGGAAACUGGGUCUAAUACCGGAUAGGAGCGCCUACCGCAUGGUGGGUGUUGGAAAGAUUUAUCGGUUUUGGAUGGACUCGCGGCCUAUCAGCUUGUUGGUGAGGUAAUGGCUCACCAAGGCGACGACGGGUAGCCGGCCUGAGAGGGUGACCGGCCACACUGGGACUGAGACACGGCCCAGACUCCUACGGGAGGCAGCAGUGGGGAAUAUUGCACAAUGGGCGAAAGCCUGAUGCAGCGACGCCGCGUGAGGGAUGACGGCCUUCGGGCUGUAAACCUCUUUCAGUAGGGAAGAAGCGAAAGUGACGGUACCUGCAGAAGAAGCACCGGCUAACUACGUG
rnacentral:rRNA from 1 species